UUACAGGCGUGAGCCACCGCGCCCGGCCUGUUUGCUCUUCUUAUCUCAUUAAAGCCAGCCCGGCUUUCGUCUUACUGUCUCUUAGCUUCUGAAAGGUCUAAUUCACUGGCACUGAAGAGUGAGGGCAGGACCCGUUAAACUGGUGCAAACGACACUUCUGAUCCUGUCCUUUCUGGGCUCGUUUCUGCACCACACAGACACUUUUCUCUGUAGGCCAUGGAAGAGCUGGUGGAUGAAGGGCUGGUGAAAGCUAUUGGCAUCUCCAACUUCAACCAUCUCCAGGUGGAGACGAUCUUAAACAAACCUGGCUUAAAGUAUAAUCCUGCAGUUAACCAGAUUGAGUGCCACCCAUAUCUCACUCAGGAGAAGUUAAUCCAGUACUGCCAGUCCAAAGGCAUCGUGGUGACCGCCUACAGCCCCCUCGGCUCUCCUGACAGGCCCUGGGCCAAGCCCGAGGACCCUUCCCUCCUGGAGGAUCCCAGGAUCAAAGCGAUCGCAGCCAAGCACAAUAAAACUACAGCCCAGGUACAGCCACUUCAGGUGUUCCUG
rnacentral:sRNA from 1 species